rnacentral:rRNA from 1 species
UACGGAGGAUGCAAGCGUUAUCCGGAAUCACUGGGCGUAAAGCGUCUGUAGGCGGUCAGAUAAGUCAACUGUUAAAUCUUGAGGCUCAACCUCAAAAUCGCAGUCGAAACUAUUAGACUAGAGUAUAGUAGGGGUAAAUGGAAUUUCCAGUGGAGCGGUGAAAUGCGUAGAUAUUGGAAAGAACACCGAUGGCGAAGGCACUUUACUGGACUAAUACUAACACUCAGACACGAAAGCUAGGGUAGCAAAUAGG